GGAUGGGAGCGCAGGGGCCGAAGCAGAGGGAUGGGAGCGCAGGGGCCGAAGCAGAGGGCUGGGAGCGCAGGGGCCGAAGCAGAGGGAUGGGAGCGCAGGGGCCGCCCAGCCCGGGCUGGGGGAGGCCUGUAGGCUCCUGGCCCCGGGGCCGGUUAUUUAUUUAUUUCGGCUGCGACACGUUCCCGUUAGGAAAGCAAAGAAUGUGAAAUGGAUACUGCGGCCUUUGAGAGCAGGGAGCUGACUGCGGCUCAGCAACAGAGCCGGCUUAGAAUCUGCUUCCAAACCUGUGGGUGCCUCUUGGGUUUCCUCAGCUAUUUUAUGGCCCAUUUUCAAAGAUUUCUGUAAAACCAGGCCAACAAUGUCUGCAUCCCCUGCCGCAUCAGUGAAAAAUUGGACCCUGUUCCAGAGUCAUGUAAAUUCCUUCUGUAAGGAACAUUUACAUUUUGCAAAGUGUAAAUUUAGCAGAGCGCUUCAGGGGGCUGCCUUUGGCCCUGCUUCAUCUCCCUUGUCAUGCUGCAGUUGCCACGGGGAUGGUUGGCUGAGAGCUUUCCGUUAGCCACCAGUGAGCAGUGCAUGGAACCCAGCGUUGCAAAGGGCUCUUCCAGGAUUGCUGUGAGCUGGUCAGAGAGCUGAUAAAUCCACCCUUACUCUCCUGUAUCUUCAUGGGCUAAAAUAGUUUCUACCAGCUCAGUGCUUGGAAUGGAAAUGAUCCCUGUGCUUCAACACAGACAGAGCAAAAUAAAGCCAGAAUUCCACUCAGUUUUUCUGGCUGUCACUUUAACGAAGUGGAAACUGCAUCAUUCAUGCAUCAUGCUGAAGGCAGAGCAGUGAAUUCUGGAUGAAUGUGGUCAUCCUGUAGAUAUGUCUGUUCUGUAUCUGGCCCUGGGUUUAUUUCAUAGUCUCUGACUGUAGUGAUUUCCACAAAAUGCUUAAUUCUCUGUGGUUUGGUAGCAAAAAGGUAAUUCAGAAUUACAAGUGGAGGAACAGGUCAUCAACUGAUGACAGCCACCACUCCCCUGCAUCAAGAGAACUACAGAACCACCUACAUGAGCUGAAGUAUGGGAGAGUUUAUCUUCAAGAUGUGUAGAAAGUAUGAAUGGCCUGAUGAUGAAACCGGUGCAGCAUAAGCUUGAGGCUUGCCCUACGCUCACACUAAAUGCCAGCGCCAACUCUGAUCUGGUCCUUCAGAGAGAAGUCAAAAGUAAAUGGUUUGCAAGCUGCUGGCAACAGCACUGGGCAUGCCUUAACCAUGCUAGCUUUAAAAUACCACCUAGAAGGGGAUGAACCCUUCACCUUUCUUUUUUGGGAUGAUAAAAAUUCUGCGUCUCUGCUCCUGCCUGCCGAGGCACUGCAUCUUGGAAGAGGUGGAAUAGUGCCUGGCUAACGCAAAGUGUCCUCAGAUGCCUUUCUUGUCAAUGGCUGUAGACAGCUUCCAGCACCAGGCUCUCGUUCAAACAGAGAAGGUAAGGUGCUGGAGACUUGCCUUUGGUUUGGUGUUGUCAGCCCUAAAAUGCUGACCUUUCCGUCCUUCUACUGCGGGCUGGGGCUGGGACAUUCCAUAUAAUCCUUACCUUGCAUGAUUCCACAUACAGACUAAAGGGAAAAGGGAGAUGCUUGAUUUUGCUUUUUCAGCUGGUAAAAAACCAAAGCUGAGGCUAUCAAAUAUCUGACUGAAACACGAUUUAAAGAACCCCCAAACCACCCAGAAGAUUUAAUUUCCAAUUUUCUGGCUUUGUCUCUGUCUUUGCAGUGUUUGCUUAGUGCAUCCAGACAGCAGAGAACUCUGCUUGUGGUGGGCUGACUUCCUCCCAUGGUGCUCCUAAGUCAUUGCCCAUUGGCUCAAGCCCCUUUCAUCUCUGCUGAGCUCGUAUCAGAAUUCCUUGUGCCAAGCAUGGUGCAAGCUCAUUUCCAGUGAGAAAUAUUUACUGGCACUGGCUUCUCGUGUUUGCAGCAUGAGAAGGAUGGGGCAGCAGCCAGAACCACGGCAGAGUCCUGCUUUCUCUGCAGACAGUCCUGCAGAUGUUCCCCCUGAGUGCUAGGGGCUUACUGGGUGGGGGGCUUUUUCAGACUGCUGCUGUUGAGUGGAAAGCUCUCUUCUUUCUCAACAAACUGCACUAAAAGGGAUUUUAAGUGAGGCAAUGAGGUCUGGCAGCCAUGGCAGUGAUCUGGGCUGUUUGCAGUGAUACCACAGAGGUGCUGCUGCCAGUGACAGCUUAGGGUGGGAGUGUUUAAUUGUGUCCUCAUUCCUUAAGUGCUUGUUUCACUUUGCCAGGCACAUCCGAUUUUACUGUCCAAGAUGAACUGACAUUUUAGGUGGAUCUUUCCUGGUGUCUCCCAGCGUCAUCUGUGCCAUAGUGGCACCUGGCAUCACUGUGAUAAUAUGCUAAAUUAAAGUCAGGUCUUUCUA